rnacentral:rRNA from 1 species
ACGCUGGCGGCGUGCCUAACACAUGCAAGUCGAGCGGCAGCGCGAGUAGUUUACUACUUGGCGGCGAGCGGCGGACGGCUGAGUAACGCGUGGGAAUUUGCCCCAAAGUGAGGAAUAACUGCCCGAAAGGGUGGCUAAUGCCGCAUAUGAUCUUCGGAUUAAAGGAUUUAUCCGCUUUGGGAGAAGCCCGCGUCGGAUUAGGUAGUUGGUGAGGUAUGGCUCACCAAGCCGACGAUCCGUAGCUGGUCUGAGAGGAUGACCAGCCAGACUGGAACUGAGACACGGUCCAGACUCCUACGGGAGGCAGCAGUGAGGAAUCUUCCACAAUGGGCGAAAGCCUGAUGGAGCAACGCCGCGUGCAGGAUGAAGGCCUUCGGGUUGUAAACUGCUUUUAUAAGUGAGGAAUAUGACGGUAGCUUAUGAAUAAGGAUCGGCUAACUACGUGCCAGCAGCCGCGGUCAUACGUAGGAUCCGAGCGUUAUCCGGAGUGACUGGGCGUAAAGAGUUGCGUAGGCGGUUUGUUAAGUGAAUAGUGAAAUCUGGUGGCUCAACCAUACAGGCUAUUAUUCAAACUGGCAAACUCGAGAGUGGUAGAGGUCACUGGAAUUUCUUGUGUAGGAGUGAAAUCCGUAGAUAUAAGAAGGAACACCGAUGGCGUAGGCAGGUGACUGGACCAUUUCUGACGCUAAGGCACGAAAGCGUGGGGAGCGAACCGGAUUAGAUACCCGGGUAGUCCACGCCGUAAACGAUGGAUACUGGCUGUUGGAGGUAUCGACCCCUUCAGUAGCGAAGCUAACGCGUUAAGUAUCCCGCCUGUGGAGUACGGUCGCAAGACUAAAACAUAAAGGAAUUGACGGGGACCCGCACAAGCGGUGGAUCGUGUUCUUUAAUUCGAUGCUAAACGAAGAACCUUAC